rnacentral:rRNA from 1 species
AGUCUGGUGCCAGCAGCCGCGGUAAUUCCAGCUCCAAUAGCGUAUAUUAAAAUUGUUGCAGUUAAAAAGCUCGUAGUUGGAUUUCUGGUACGGCGCACUCGGCCCGCUUCGGUUACGAGGUCGAGUGCCGGUGUGCGCCUGCCAUCCUUCUAGAGUACGUCUCUCCCUUCAGUGGGUUGGGCCGGAAUCUAGAUCAUUUACUUUGAAAAAAUUAGAGUGUUUAAAGCAGGCUUACGCUAUGAAUACAUUAGCAUGGAAUAAUAAUUUAGGACUUUGGUCUUAUUUUGUUGGUUUCUAGGACUAAAGUAAUGAUUGAUAGGGACAGUUGGGGGUGCUAGUAUUCAGCGGCCAGAGGUGAAAUUCUUGGAUUCGCUGAAGACUAACUUAUGCGAAAGCAUUCACCAAGGAUGUCUUCUUUAAUCAAGAACGAAAGUUGGGGGAUCGAAGACGAUCAGAUACCGUCGUAGUCUCAACCAUAAACUAUGCCGACUAGGGAUGAGUGAACGUUGCUUAUUCGACUUCAUUCGCACCUUAUGAGAAAUUAAAGUCUUUGGGUUCCGGGGGGAGUAUGGUCGCAAGGCUGAAACUUAAAGGAAUUGACGGAAGGGCACACCAGGAGUGGAGCCUGCGGCUUAAUUUGACACAACACGGGAAAACUUACCAGGUCCAGACAUAAUAAGGAUUGACAGAUUGAAGAUCUUUCUUGAUUUUAUGGGUGGUGGUGCAUGGCCGUUCUUAGUUGGUGGAGUGAUUUGUUUGGUUAAUUCCGUUAACGAACGAGACCUCGACCUGCUAAAUAGUUUGGUGAAUUCUCCGGGAUUCAUUUACGACUUCUUAGAGGGACUAUCGGUGAUUUAGCCGAUGGAAGUUCGAGGCAAUAACAGGUCUGUGAUGCCCUUAGAUGUCCUGGGCCGCACGCGCGCUACACUGAUACGUUCAUCGAGCUUACAACCUUGUCUGAGAGGACUGGGUAAUCUUUUUAAACCGUAUCGUGCUGGGGAUAGAUUAUUGUAAUUUUUAAUCUUCAACGAGGAAUUCCUAGUAAACGCUGGUCAUCAACCAGCAUUGAUUACGUCCCUGCCCUUUGUACACACCGCCCGUCGCUACUACCGAUUGAAUGGCUUAGUGAGUUUCAGGGAUUGUUGUAUUAUCGAGGUUCGCCUUUCUAGUACAUCCGAGAACUGAAUCAAACUCG